UUAAUUAAUAAUGUCUUAAAUGUGUUUGUUUCUAUUAUAAUCAAAUGUGUAAGGGAAACACUACUACAAUACUGGUUCUAUGAAUAUUUUGUUUUGUUUGUGUAAUUCUACUUAUUGUAAACUCUAUGAUUUCUGUCGUGCCAAACGAAAAAGACUUACCUUGCCCUUUUUCAAUUUCUUUUCGGCCAUUUGGCAUGUAAUUUUUUGGUGCGGAUGUAAAAACCACCACAAUAUGUAAUAACCUAUCUGUUACCGCCGUUUUGGCGGUUCGAGUCAUGGGCCUCAUCCUGGCUUUGGUGUUCCAGGAAUCUAAAUUCAUUUUUGGGAAUUGACCUCUUCAAAACAAAGGCCAGAAAUUUCAUUAUUAUUAUUUUAAGGUUAUGUAACUGUUUUCAACUUCUACGUGAUCAUCAUGCAAGUUUCUACUAUUGAACUUGAAUCAACGAAAUACGUAAUAUUGAUUUCUACACUUUGGAACAUUUCCGGCAAUUAAUUUUCAUUAUGAAGAAAGAAUUAUAAGAAGACUUCAAUAAUUUAAUAUUUGUUUGAUGAAUUAAUUUUUUAAAAAAUAUUUGUUGAUAAACUUAACCUGUUUUUACUUAAAUCUAAUAUAAAUACUUGGUACGUACCUAGUUGUCCACGAUCUCGUUACUUAAUGUAUAAUACUCAGUACCUAAUAUUUUGUUAAUAUGUUAAUUGUUUUGUUGAUGUUUGUUGUACAUUGUUAUUUUUACAAAGGCCUAUAAUUACAACCAGCACCAAUCUGAUAUUUGUGUUAUUUGUUCCCAGUGGUUUAUUCCAAUAAGUUUUAAUUCCUUUUAACAUAUUAUGUUUGUUAUAAAGGGCAAUAUAUUCUCAUGUCUCUAUAGUAAUUUAUACUAAUCCUUUCGUUAAUACAUAAUAACAUAGUACAGCAAAUGUAAACGAUCCAACAUAUCUGAAACUUUCAUGUGUUAUAGUGUCCUUGGGUAACUUCCAAUGCCACACAUUGAGGUUAUGUAGGAUGCUAUAGCAGAUGAAUACCUUUCAGUCAAAACAAUAUGUCACUAAAUGGUAGCAGAGCUUGGGUUUGCUGUUUACUAUGUUAUUAUUUUGUUUUAUAUAUACAAUUGUGAAGAAACUAAAUCAUAAUUUUAAUUUUAAGAUUUUAUAACCUUAAAUAUUUUGUUGUGUAAAAUAACUCAUAAACAUUCUCUUUUGUGUGAUAUCUCUUACCUUUUGCAAUCUUAAAUAAUUCUUUUUAUGAAUUUUAAUAGUAUUUUUAAUAUUGGUAAACUAAUUUUUUUUUGUAAUCUCUUAGCUAAUAUUUUAAAGUACAAAACUGUAAUUGUUUUAAUGAUAGAUAAUAUUAUUUGCAUAUUCUUUAUUAACAUAAUUCUAAAUGGUAUUUCAGUUUAAAUAUUGAUGCAAGUUUUGUUUGUUCAGAGAAGUUUUUGAAUACUUAUUAUUUCCCGUUUUCAUGAUACUUUAAUUUUUUUUUAAUAUCUUAUUUUGCAGAUUUUCAUGUGUUGAGUGGUCUGUGGUUUACUGUUGUUACUUCAGGGAAUUUUUUUUAAUUGAGGUUGUUUUGUUUACUUUUCGUGUAUCACCAAUUGGGGCACGUUUUUCGUUACCUAACCAUGAUAGGUAUUUUUAGUUUUUGUUGCCAUCAUUUAAUAAGUUCUUUUUAUAGCAGGUUGUUUUAAUAAUCUCUUAUGUUGUUUCUUCUGCCCAUGUUUUGUUAUAGGUCAUCUUGGGUAUGUAUUUUAGAUAUUGAUUUCUUUUCAGAGACAUUUUGCCGUUUCCCUAUUAUGUUCAUUUAAUGUGUGUUCUAGUGCUUUUCAUUGCACAGUUUAAUAAUUGAGGUUAUGGUAUUGUUUUAUAAGUAUCUAAUUUGCAGUAUAUUUAUUUUUGAAUCAAGUAUUUGGGUAAUAUAUUCUUUUUGUCUUAAAUUGUGUUGGAUCAUCAUUUAAAUUUUUUCUCUUGAGCCUAUUAAUUUUUUUCAUUUAAAUUUCACUAUUUUGCUUUGUUUUGUUUUAAUUAUUUUGUUUCAGUAAGAUGCAGUAAAAGGUCAGUGGUUUUCUUCUGUUAGAAUUUUGUCGUUUCUCUUUUGAAUCUUUUCUUUAAGCACUAAUAUAGAAAGUUUUAUAGUUUUAAUGCAUUGCAUAUUUACAAUUUUGUAUUGUCUGGAGUAAGUGACUUCCAGACGACAUUAGAUUUUGUUUAAAUGUUUUGUUGACUUUGGUCAAGUUUAGCCCGUGGGCAAACUUUUGCUAAAUUAGUUUUUCUUGUGGUGGUCCUUAGAGCUGUUGAGCCAGGACAAUUUUCUAAGUGUUAGGCUUCACCAACACUUAUUUUUGGUGACCUCUGUCAUGUUUUAAAUCUUAUGUCUGCCAUGGAAGAUCCAAUCACUCAUUUUAAUAAUGGUUUCAUUUUAGGUUAAUAAUUUGUUUUGUGAUUUUAUUGGUUUUUGAAUAAUUAAUUUUUUUUAGUGCUAACCUUGAUUUAUUGCUUUUCUAUUUUGUUUAUCUUGCUAGUGUCAUCUUUUAAAAUAAUAUUUUAAUAUAUGAGUUUGGUUUCUUGUCUUGUCAUCCAAAACAUAUACUUUUUGAAAUUUCUGUUUUGUAGGUUAUGUGUGUGUUGGUUCAUGUGGGGAUGUGGUGUGUUGUGUGUUUUACACAGCUUUCCACACGACACAGCUAUUGCACAUGUUUUCCACACAUUACACAGUGUAGUUUUAUCCACCUAAUCAGUCUUCAAUUUCUUGCAGGUUUGUUUUGUUUUAAACUUAGAUACUGUUCUUGUUUUUUAUUUGUGUACUAGGGUUGUUGCUGUAUGACAUCUCUCCGGUGGGGUGUCUGCUGCAUGGAGUUUGCUAGGGUGGUUGCAGCUUCGGCUUGGUGUUGCUGCGACUCACCGUUUCAGCCAUCUCUGGUGAAUUUCGUGUAGUGGAGUUCUGCUUGGUGAGACUGUCGUAUAGUGGCACAUUCUUCAUUGUAUGGUAUGGUUUCUACUUUGAUUUCUUCUCAUAACAUUUUCUUCGAUUAAUUACAGGCAGUUAGUUUUGUUCACUUCCCUUUUGCUGAAUCUUAGAUUUGUUCAUGUUAAAUUUUGUGUCAGUGGUCAAGCUUGCUUUUGCAGGUACUAAAUUAUUUUUUGAGUAUCUAAGGUAUGGGACUUAGUCAUUCACCUUUGGACGACCGUUUUCUUAUUUUUCUUUCAAUUUUGUGUUGUCGCUGAAUAAGCAUUUUAGAAUUUUUUAUUUUUUUUUUUUUGUGGCUCAUAUUUCUUUCGUAUUUGAUCAGUAUUGUCAAUGUAAGUAUUGUUAAACUUUGAUUAGGUAUUCUUCUAUUUGAAAUUUUUUUUAAAAUUUUAUCAUGAUGUGUUGUAUGAACUGCAGUGUUCAGAGCGGUAUCUUAAGAUCAGGAUCUUAGUGACCAGUAUCGGGAGUGUGACCUGUUGUAUUUUGGCACCUCCCAGUUUUUUUUUAAGCCGACGGGCAUUUUGUUUGAGGUGUUGUCCCUCUUUGUUGUAGCAUACGCUGGCUGUCCUGGGUACUUGUACCACCAUUCUGUCCUGUCUUGUUUCUACAAUUACACACUGAAUUUUUUUGUCCUUUGGUAUUUUGAUCUUCGAUUUAAAUUACACUUUAGCCUUGAGAUUUGUCUCUCGUAGGUGUGAGAGCAUCCUACGUUCAGCUGAUUUAUGUCGAUUUCGAGACUGAGUUUUCUAUAAUUUUUUUUGAGUGAGCAUUUAAUAAUAAUUUUUUAUUAUGCAGGGGUGUAUAGUCCCCAUUUUGUUUUAAUAAUUGUAUGAAGAGGUGUAUAUUCCUCAUUGAGUAUGGAGUUUAUAAGGAUAAUAUUUUUUUGUUUCUCAGUAAAUAUAUAGGGGUUUUAUGCUCGUGUCUGUGUUGUUUGAUUCUUCAGCAGUAUAAUGAUUUAUUUUUGAUUUCUAUAUUUAAUAUAGUCUUUUCUUUUUGACAUCAUUAAUUCUUAUGUCCUUUUUUUUUGGGUAAAUUGAAUUGUUUUUGAUGGCAACUUUUAAAGCUUUUAAAAUUUUUUUUUUAAGACGGUAGCGUCUGUUUUGAGGGGAGGAGUGUGUGCCGUUUCUAGGUAUGGCACUCGUGAUUUUAUGAGUAGGUAAUUAAUUUAUUCACAUUUCUUUUUUUUAAUUUUCAUGUUAAAUAAAUUUUAAUAUUUUUAUGCAAAGAUUGUAUUUAAUAUUUAUUUAUCUUUACAUAUUUCAUUGUUUUAAUGUUAAAGUUUUGUGUAGCUAUUUAAUUAAUAAUGUCUUAAAUGUGUUUGUUUCUAUUAUAAUCAAAUGUGUAAGGGAAACACUACUACAAUACUGGUUCUAUGAAUAUUUUGUUUUGUUUGUGUAAUUCUACUUAUUGUAAACUCUAUGAUUUCUGUCGUGCCAAACGAAAAAGACUUACCUUGCCCUUUUUCAAUUUCUUUUCGGCCAUUUGGCAUGUAAUUUUUUGGUGCGGAUGUAAAAACCACCACAAUAUGUAAUAACCUAUCUGUUACCGCAGUUUUGGGUGAGUAAAUGUUUCGUCUGUGGGAAAAGUGUAUCCCAUGAUAAUUAUUUGUUAUGUUUGGAGGUUAAUAUUUUUGUGGUUUCAUUCCAUAGCGGUUCGAGUCAUGGGCCUCAUCCUGGCUUUGGUGUUCCAGGAAUCUAAAUUCAUUUUUGGGAAUUGACCUCUUCAAAACAAAGGCCAGAAAUUUCAUUAUUAUUAUUUUAAGGUUAUGUAACUGUUUUCAACUUCUACGUGAUCAUCAUGCAAGUUUCUACUAUUGAACUUGAAUCAACGAAAUACGUAAUAUUGAUUUCUACACUUUGGAACAUUUCCGGCAAUUAAUUUUCAUUAUGAAGAAAGAAUUAUAAGAAGACUUCAAUAAUUUAAUAUUUGUUUGAUGAAUUAAUUUUUUAAAUAAUAUUUGUUGAUAAACUUAACCUGUUUUUACUUAAAUCUAAUAUAAAUACUUGGUACGUACCUAGUUGUCCACGAGCUCGUUACUUAAUGUAUAAUACUCAGUACCUAAUAUUUUGUUAAUGUGUUAAUUGUUUUGUUGAUGUUUGUUUUACAUUGUUAUUUUUACAAAGGCCUAUAAUUACAACCAGCACCAAUCU